AUUUCUUUGGGCCGCUCCCACGGCAUAUGGAGGUUCCCAGGCUAGGGGUCGAAUUGGAGCUGUAGCCACCGGCCUACGCCAGAGCCACAGCAACACGGGAUCCGAGCCGCGUCUGCAACCUACACCACAGCUCACGGCAACGCCGGAUCGUUAACCCACCGAGCAAGGGCAGGGAUCGAACCUGCAACCCCAUAGUUCCUAGUCGGAUUCGUCAACCACUGCGCCACGACGGGAACUCCUGCAGUCAGAUUCUUAACCCACUGCACCACAGCAGGAAUUCCUGAGCACCUUGGUUGAAUUUUUUUUACAGUUUAUGAAGCUUUCAGAUCAUCUGAUUAUCGUAAACGUAUUGUGAAGUAAGCAGCUCAGAAUUACGGCCCCCAUAUCAGAGAUGUGGAAAGGGAGGCUCAGAAGAGGUUGAGUUACCCAAGCUAUAGUGAAAACAAGAGCAAAUUAACAUUUUUGAAAACCUAUUAUGUGUUGAGGCACUACACUAAGCCCUCCAUAUUCAGAAUAUACAAUUUGGAGUUUCUGCUGUGGCCAAGAGGAUCAGCGCUAUCUCUGCAGUACUGGGUGCAGGCUUGAUUCCCAGCCUGGCACAGUGGGUUAAGGAGCCGGUGUUGCCCCAGCUGGAGCAUAGGUCCCAACUGUGGCGCCAAUCUGAUCCCUGGCCCGGGAACUCCACAUGCCCCAGGGCAGCCAAAAAUAAAAAAAUAGAAAAGGUCGAGUUAUCUGCCUUGAAUUGCAAGACAUGUAGAACCAGGUUUCAAACCCAGGUUGUCUCUUGCAGAGGACAGAGCAUAAAGCACUAUGCUAAUAGUAGCACUGGGAGAUCUCCAGUAGAGUACGCGUGUUCUCUGUAUUUAUUACUAUAGGUCUUCUGACUCCUGGCUCUUCUGCUGCUUUGACUUUUUUUUUUCCAUCGGUUUGCACUUUCACCUUCCGGUAGAAUUAAUCAGAGACCACAGGGACGUCAUUGCAUAUGACUGAGGUUGUAUCAAUCAAGUUCAGAUAAAAAACCCCUCACAAUGACUAAUUUCAUUAACAAAGAAAACAUGGUUGAAAGUCCUUUUGUGGCAAGGUGGGUUACAGCUCCGGCAGGGCUGCGGCUGUGGUGUAGGCGGCAGCAGGGGCGCGGGUUCAAUCUGUGGCCCCGGAGCUUCCGCGUGGCGCAGGUGUGCUCCCUCCCCCCAAACACUGUUGAAGACUUUUACUGAUUUUAUUGUUCAGAGGACCCAUUGCUUAAGAACCACAGGGCACACCUAUUGAGUACACAGGGGAAAACGUGUGAGGCAGGAUAAUAACUCAGGGAGUAAGUGUGGGAGCAUGGGCUUCGGUGCAUUCUUUGAUAUGGCCAUGGAUUAACAUGUGUGGCUUAAAGGGCUCCGGGGAGCAACAUCCCCUCAGGCCUUGUCUACUAUAGGGAGCGGAUCUGUGUUACAUCCAGGUGGACAUUAAUCUCUAACCCGCUCCUCAACUGAUAGAAAAGAAUGAGAGGAACGGUGACUCUCAGUCUAAGGAAGAGAAGAGCAACCAUACAACUUACAGGGCCUUUCCACCUCUAACACCCCUAUGGGACAAGGACUGAUACAGGUAACUGGACAAAGCCAAUGGUUGAAAACCCUAUCUUUCUGGACCCCAUGUUGGUAGGACCCACCCCAUCUUUAAGGGACCCCAUGUUGGUACCCCCCCCCCCGUCUUUAAGGGAUAAACACCCCUAGAGGACAAUGGAGAGGGGGACUCUUCUUCUCUCUCCCAGUCCUGUCCUGGGAGCUGUUUGCUUUCCUGUGAGAAAGACUUUGCUUGAGUGCUGCCUGUGUGUUUGCGAAGGUCAUUCUUCGGCUCCGUGAACAAGAACCCGGAUUCUGGUAACAUGUUUCC
rnacentral:lncRNA from 1 species